GUCUACGGCACACCCACCCUGAACCCGCCCGAUCUCGUCUGAUCUCGGAAGCUAAGCAGGGCGGGCCUGGUUAGUACUUGGAUGGGAGACCGCCUGGAAUACCGGGUGCCGUAGGCU
rnacentral:rRNA from 1 species